rnacentral:ncRNA from 1 species
GGUGAACCAGUGAUAGAGAAAAGUAAUUAAGAAAACAAGUGGACAGAGAAGAGUGCCUUGGCUGGAAGCAUUCUACACGAUGACUUAAUGAACGAACACUCUGGAGGUUUCUCUCUGAACAGUAUAUUACUUACUAGGAGUAGAACGUAGUCAGGCGUUAACUGAUUGAGCUGAAAGCAAUGGUAAAUUGCUUUAAUUAGGGUGGCACCGCGGGUAACUCUCGUCCCUUCU